rnacentral:rRNA from 1 species
CACGUAGGGUGCGAGCGUUGUCCGGAAUUAUUGGGCGUAAAGAGCUCGUAGGCGGUGUGUCGCGUCGGCCGUGAAAACCUGCAGCUUAACUGUGGGCUUGCGGUCGAUACGGGCAUCACUGGAGUUCGGCAGGGGAGACUGGAAUUCCUGGUGUAGCGGUGAAAUGCGCAGAUAUCAGGAGGAACACCGGUGGCGAAGGCGGGUCUCUGGGCCGAACUGACUCGUGGAGGAGCGAAAGCGUGGGGAGCGAACAGGA